UACGGGGGGGGCAAGCGUUGUUCGGAAUUACUGGGCGUAAAGGGCUCGUAGGCGGCCAACUAAGUCAUACGUGAAAUCCCUCGGCUUAACCGGGGAACUGCGUCUGAUACUGGAUGGCUUGAGUUCGGGAGAGGGAUGCGGAAUUCCAGGUGUAGCGGUGAAAUGCGUAGAUAUCUGGAGGAACACCGGUGGCGAAGGCGGCAUCCUGGACCGAUACUGACGCUGAGGCACGAAAGCGUGGGGAGCGAACAGG
rnacentral:rRNA from 1 species